rnacentral:misc_RNA from 1 species
GAAAGAGCACAGAAGUACAUCAGGUUGGAUGACAAGCGAUAGUCCUUGAGGGAAGAAAGGAAGUCCGCACAAGGCAACGACAAGAGGCAGGGAAAAAAGAGCUAUAAUUCAAACCGAAGGGGUUAUAGCUCGGAUAGAAAUGCCAAUUGAAACAAGGAGAGGUUCCAUAACUACACACCACUCAAUGAGACUAGAUCAAGGGUCUUGAUGUGGAUAUAGAAAAAUGAUGAAUAGAUUAAAUGGUUAAAGAGACAACCUAGAUACUUUAGGAAAGAGGGACGAGUAAGUUGUGUAGAUUUCACAAUGAUCA